GCGGUCGUGGUGGAAUUGGUAGACACGCUAGCUUGAGGUGCUAGUGGGAGCAAUCUCAUGACAGUUCAAGUCUGUCCGACCGCAGAA
rnacentral:tRNA from 1 species